rnacentral:rRNA from 1 species
GACGAACGCUGGCGGCGUGCCUAAUACAUGCAAGUAGAACGCUGAAGAGAGGAGCUUACUCUUCUUGGAUGAGUUGCGAACGGGUGAGUAACGCGUAGGUAACCUGCCUUGUAGCGGGGGAUAACUAUUGGAAACGAUAGCUAAUACCGCAUAACAAUGGAUGACACAUGUCAUUUAUUUGAAAGGGGCAAUUGCUCCACUACAAGAUAGACCUGCGUUGUAUUAGCUAGUAGGUGAGGUAAUGGCUCACCUAGGCGACGAUACAUAGCCGACCUGAGAGGGUGAUCGGCCACACUGGGACUGAGACACGGCCCAGACUCCUACGGGAGGCAGCAGUAGGGAAUCUUCGGCAAUGGGGGCAACCCUGACCGAGCAACGCCGCGUGAGUGAAGAAGGUUUUCGGAUCGUAAAGCUCUGUUGUAAGUCAAGAACGGGUGUGAGAGUGGAAAGUUCACACUGUGACGAUAGCUUACCAGAAAGGGACGGCUAACUACGUG